GUGUACUCUUAAUGUACACUCCGGUUCCUGUGCUCCGUCCCAACCCACCUCAAAUCUGCUCGCUACGACUUCUGUCGCUAUGUAUAUCAGCC
rnacentral:sRNA from 1 species